AAGAAAGAAGCCGAAAAAGAAUUAGAAAAAAAAAAUAGAGAAAAAGAAAAAUGUUCUUCUUGUUCCCCGAGCAGUUAAGGGUUUUGGUACUUCGGGCGCAUAUGGUCUUCCCUCUGGCUUCUAUUCAGAUUUGCAGAGCUCCGUUCAAUCUGUUCGAAUUAAAGAGAGGCUUCCAUUUCGUUUAUUGUUGGUGGAUCCUUGCAAAUGAGAGCUUAAAGAACUAUGAAGUGAUUGAGAGUUUGUUUAGUAAAUGGCUCAUGAACCUGCUCAGUUGGGGACUGCGGGGAUUGAAGGAGAUGUGUGCUUCGAGAUUUUCGGUGCUUUCGUGUUGGCUUGAAAUGGGUUGGCUCGUUGUUGAAUGUUCUUUGAUUAAUCAUCUUCUAUUCUAACAGCUUAAUGACUGUUUUAGCACGGA